rnacentral:tRNA from 1 species
UCCCUGGUAGCUCAGCUAGUAAAGAAUCCACCUGCAGUGUGGGAAACCUAGGUUCAAUCCCUAGGUUGGGAA